CUUGAAGGAGUCUACACUUUGGCAUAUUGAUUUCUUGGUUUGAUCAAUCUCUCGACUAUGGUUAUAUACUGAGAAUGGGUCCUGCCAUGUUUCUGUGGGGGCCAAAACUUGACCCACCCCUAUGAGCCGCAUGCAUCUACUGGGUAUUCAGUCCAGAUUUUUUUCCAUGCAUGUUUGCCCCUUGUUCAGGCUAGUCAACCUCUCAAGCUUCGCUGGGCAGUUUGCGUAUGAGAAGAUGAGCGAUGAGGUCAAAGGUCGUUUCCAGGCCGGACAGUGGAGGAUGUGGAGGCACUCAUGAAAGACUUUGUGGAGUGAGUCGUAUUUGAAGAGAGACUAAUUUUCAAGAAAAAGCAAAAAGAGGUGCGCCAGUGCUGGUGAUGUGGUUGCUAAGGGCUGGACCGACAAUGCGUACUGUGUGUCAAAGAUGGGGGUCACACCAGUGACCAGGGUCCAAGCUGCCAACUUGGCCAAGGACGCUACCAAAGAGGACGUUGUUCUAACUUGGUGUUUACCUGGCUACGUUGGGACGGAUAUUACCAACUACAAGGGGCUGCUGACAAUUGAUGGGGGCGCCAUCACGCCAAUCUACUGCGCGCGUCCUGCAGCCACCCGGCUCAGACCAGCUCAGUGGCAAGCAAGUCUACGAGUUCUGGUAGUACCACAGAUAUCCCAGUCAAGGUAUUUUCAAAUUAUUUACAAAGUCGCUCUUCCUACUGUUGAGUUAAAGGAACCAGGAAAUGAGUUUUUCUUAGAAUCACCUUUUGUGUAUCUCUGUACUCUUCUUCCAUGUAUGAAGA